rnacentral:rRNA from 1 species
UACAGAGGUCCCGAGCGUUGUUCGGAUUCAUUGGGCGUAAAGGAUGCGUAGGCGGCGGGGCAAGUCUGAUGUGAAAUCCCGGGGCUCAACCCCGGAACUGCAUUGGAUACUGCCUUGCUUGAGUACUGGAGAGGGAACUGGAAUUACGGUGUAGCAGUGAAAUGCGUAGAGAUCGUAAGGAAGGCCAGUGGCGAAGGCGAGUUCCUGGACAGUGACUGACGCUGAGGCACGAAGGCCAGGGAGCAAACGGG